GACGUAGGGCGCGAGCGUUGUCCGGAUUUAUUGGGCGUAAAGAGCUCGUAGGCGGCUUGUCGCGUCGACCGUGAAAACUCACAGCUCAACUGUGAGCUUGCGGUCGAUACGGGCAGGCUCGAGUUCGGUAGGGGAGACUGGAAUUCCUGGUGUAGCGGUGAAAUGUGCAGAUAUCAGGAGGAACACCGGUGGCGAAGGCGGGUCUCUGGGCCGAUACUGACGCUGAGGAGCGAAAGCGUGGGGAGCGAACAGG
rnacentral:rRNA from 1 species